rnacentral:rRNA from 1 species
GAUUGAACGCUGGCGGCAUGCUUUACACAUGCAAGUCGAACGGUAACAGGCCUUCGGGUGCUGACGAGUGGCGAACGGGUGAGUAAUGCAUCGGAACGUGCCCAGAGGUGGGGGAUAACGCAGCGAAAGCUGUGCUAAUACCGCAUGUGAUCUGAGGAUGAAAGCGGGGGACCAGGCAGCAAUGUUUGGCCUCGCGCCUUUGGAGCGGCCGAUGUCAGAUUAGGUAGUUGGUGGGGUAAAGGCCUACCAAGCCGACGAUCUGUAGCUGGUCUGAGAGGACGACCAGCCACACUGGAACUGAGACACGGCCCAGACUCCGACGGGAGGCAGCAGUGGGGAAUUUUGGAAAAUGGGCGAAAGCCUGAUCCAGCAAUGCCGCGUGCGGGAAGAAGGCCUUCGGUUUGUAAACCGUUUUUAUACGGAAGGAAAGGUCUUUGGUUAAUACCUGGGUGUGUUGACGGUACCAAAAGAAUAAGCACCGGCUAACUUCGUG